GAGGAGCACGGCGGCCGCCCCGAGGCCAACCCCUUCGGCGCCAGAGCCGUCAGGCUUUACCUCCGAGAAGUCCGAGAUUUUCAGGCCAAGGCCAGAGGCGUCAGCUAUGAGAAGAAGAGGAAGAGGCCCAAGCCCAAGAUGGUCAUCAUCACUAGUAGUAAUACUACUACUAGUACACCACCACCACCACCACCAAGUACUGGCAGUUCCAGUUAGUCAUAAUAAGCGUAUUAUAAAGAUCUGUUGAUGAUCACAUGGAAAUAUUAUACAUAUUAUUAUACGUUCUGAAACUGGGGACAGUGGUGGUGGUGUGGAGGCCGAGCUGCGGUAGUGGGUUGGACUGUUCGCCGAAAUGAUGGUUGUACUUGAAAACUGCGUACCAAAGAGUAGAGUUCUCUCUGUAAAAUAUAUAUGUUAAUUUCCACUUUGUUUCUUCUUAAUUAAUGGUUGAAUCUUAAUUAUUAUUAUUAUUGUUAAUUCUAUAUA